rnacentral:rRNA from 1 species
AGAGUUUGAUCAUGGCUCAGAUUGAACGCUGGCGGCAUGCCUUACACAUGCAAGUCGAACGGCAGCACGGGUGCUUGCACCUGGUGGCGAGUGGCGAACGGGUGAGUAAUAUAUCGGAACGUACCUUAUCGUGGGGGAUAACGCAGCGAAAGCUGCGCUAAUACCGCAUACGCCCUGAGGGGGAAAGCGGGGGACCGUAAGGCCUCGCGCGAUUAGAGCGGCCGAUAUCUGAUUAGCUUGUUGGUGGGGUAAAAGCCCACCAAGGCGACGAUCAGUAGCUGGUCUGAGAGGACGAUCAGCCACACUGGGACUGAGACACGGCCCAGACUCCUACGGGAGGCAGCAGUGGGGAAUUUUGGACAAUGGGGGCAACCCUGAUCCAGCAAUGCCGCGUGAGUGAAGAAGGCCUUCGGGUUGUAAAGCUCUUUUGUCAGGGAAGAAACAGCAGCUCUAACACAGUCUGCGAAUGACGGUACCUGAAGAAUAAGCACCGGCUAACUACGUGCCAGCAGCCGCGGUAAUACGUAGGGUGCAAGCGUUAAUCGGAAUUACUGGGCGUAAAGCGUGCGCAGGCGGUUAUACAAGACAGGCGUGAAAUCCCCGGGCUUAACCUGGGAAUGGCGUCUGUGACUGUAUGACUAGAGUGUGUCAGAGGGGGGUAGAAUUCCACGUGUAGCAGUGAAAUGCGUAGAUAUGUGGAGGAAUACCAAUGGCGAAGGCAGCCCCCUGGGAUAACACUGACGCUCAUGCACGAAAGCGUGGGGAGCAAACAGGAUUAGAUACCCUGGUAGUCCACGCCCUAAACGAUGCCGACUAGUUGUUGGGAAUUUACAUUCUCAGUAACGUAGCUAACGCGUGAAGUCGGCCGCCUGGGGAGUACGGUCGCAAGAUUAAAACUCAAAGGAAUUGACGGGGACCCGCACAAGCGGUGGAUGAUGUGGAUUAAUUCGAUGCAACGCGAAAAACCUUACCUACCCUUGACAUG